rnacentral:misc_RNA from 1 species
AACGCACAUUGCGCCCCUCGGUAUUCCGGGGGGCAUGCCUGUCCGAGCGUCAUUACACCACUCAAGCGUAGCUUGGUAUUGGGCCGUGCUCACCCGCCAAGGGGCACGCCUGCAAAUCAGUGGCGGUCCGGCGAGACCUUGAACGCAGUGAAACUCUUCUCGUUCGGGGCCCUCUCGCGCCUGGGACCCGCCAGAAUCGCGCCAUUUUCAAUGAUUGACCUCGGAUCAGGUAGGGAUACCCGCUGAACUUAA